rnacentral:SRP_RNA from 1 species
GCCGGGCGUGGUGGCGCGUGCCUGUAGUCCCAGCUACUCGGGAGGCUGAGGUGGGAGGAUCGCUUGAGUCCAGGAGUUCUGGGCUGCAGUGCGCUAUGCCGAUCGGGUGUCCGCACUAAGUUCCGCAUCAAUAUGGUGACCUCCCGGGAGCGGGGGACCACCAGGUUGCCUAAGGAGGGGUGAACCGGCCCAGGUCGGAAACGGAGCAGGUCAAAACUCCCGUGCUGAUCAGUAGUGGGAUCGCGCCUGUGAAUAGCCACUGCACUCCAGCCUGGGCAAUAUAGUGAGACCCUGUCUCU